rnacentral:rRNA from 1 species
CGGAUGUGCCCGCAGGGUGCAUGGCAGACGGGUGAGUAACGCGUGGGGAAUCUACCUCUUUGUGGGGAAUAACGCUCCGAAAGGAGUGGUAAUACCGCAUGAGAUCCAUGGCUGGAAUGUUGUGGAUGAAACCUGGGGACCUUCGGGCCUGGGGCAAGGAGAGGAUCCUGCGUCUGAUUAGCUAGUUGGUGAGGUAACGGCCCACCAAGGCAACGAUCAGUAGCCGGCCUGAGAGGGUGAUCGGCCACACUGGAACUGAGACACGGUCCAGACUCCUACGGGAGGCAGCAGUGGGGAAUUUUGCGCAAUGGGCGAAAGCCUGACGCAGCAACGCCGCGUGGGUGAUUAAGGUCUUCGGAUCGUAAAACCCUGUCGUCGGGGACGAAGGUGUGGGGGUUAAUAGCCUUUGCAUUUGACGGUACCCGGAGAGGAAGCCCCGGCUAACUCUGUGCCAGCAGCCGCGGUAAUACAGAGGGGGCAAGCGUUAUUCGGAAUUAUUGGGCGUAAAGGGCGCGUAGGCGGCUUUUUAAGUGAGAUGUGUAAUCCCCGAGCUCAACUUGGGAACUGCAUCUCAUACUGGGAGGCUAGAGUACUGGAGAGGGUGGUAGAAUUCCACGUGUAGCGGUGAAAUGC